CAGGCCACUAAAGAACUCUACAAAACAAUAGGUACCUUAGUUUCAAAGCUUUUUAAGUCGACAACAAGAUAUUAUUUCUCUUUCCACAAACAGAUUCAAGUUAGUCAAUUAAUUUAUUAUUGUUAGGGAUUUCAUUCAUAUAAAUUUAAAUGACGGUCUUGAAAUUGAACUUUAGUCCAUGGAAACAAGUUUGUGUGUAGACAUACCUAUAGAUACAUUUUAUGUAACAUCUGAGUCUGUGCUUUUAGAUAAUUUCUUUAUUAUUAUGGAUUAUUUUUUUAUUCUCGUAUAAUAAAGCAAGAGUGGCUAUGCAUAUGCAAAGCGUAAAA